GAUGAACGCUGGCGGCGUGCCUAAUACAUGCAAGUCGAGCGAACAGACGAGGAGCUUGCUCCGCUUGCGUUAGGGGCGGACGGGGGAGUAACACGUGGAUAACCUACUUAUAAGACUGCGAUAACUUCGGGAAUACGGAGCUAAUACGAGAGAAUAUACUGCACCAUGUAGUUUGAUAGCAAAAUACGGUUUUGCUGGCUCUAUUACAGGGGUCCGGGCCGGCUUAGCUAGUUGGUAAGGUAACGGCUUACCCAGGCCACGAUGCGUAGCCGAACCGAGAGGAUGAUCAGCCGCCCUGCAGCGGGGACGCGCUCCCGACUCCUGAGUGAGGCACCAGUCGGGAAUCUUCCGCAGUGGGCGAAAGCCUGACGGAGCAACGCCGCGUGAGUGAUGAAGGUCUUCGGAUCGUAAAACUCUGCUAUUAGGGAAGAACAAAUGUGUAAGUAACUAUGCACGUAUUGACGGUACCUAAUCAGAAAGCCACGGCUAACUACGUG
rnacentral:rRNA from 1 species